UACGUAGGGUGCGAGCGUUGUCCGGAAUUACUGGGCGUAAAGAGCUCGUAGGUGGUUUGUCGCGUUGUUCGUGAAAACCGGGGGCUUAACCCUCGGCGUGCGGGCGAUACGGGCAGACUGGAGUACUGCAGGGGAGACUGGAAUUCCCGGUGUAGCGGUGAAAUGCGCAGAUAUCGGGAAGAACACCCGUGGCGAAGGCGGCUCUCUGGAACGCAACUGACGCUGAGGAGCGAAAGCGUGGGGAGCGAACAGG
rnacentral:rRNA from 1 species